GUGGGGAAUAUUGGACAAUGGGCGCAAGCCUGAUCCAGCCAUGCCGCGUGAGUGAUGAAGGCCUUAGGGUUGUAAAGCUCUUUCAGUGGGGACGAUAAUGACGGUACCCACAGAAGAAGCCCCGGCUAACUUCGUGCCAGCAGCCGCGGUAAUACGAAGGGGGCUAGCGUUGUUCGGAUUUACUGGGCGUAAAGCGCACGUAGGCGGAUCGUUAAGUCGGGGGUGAAAUCCUGGAGCUCAACUCCAGAACUGCCUUCGAUACUGGCGAUCUUGAGUCCGGUAGAGGUGAGUGGAACUCCUAGUGUAGAGGUGGAAUUCGUAGAUAUUAGGAAGAACACCAGUGGCGAAGGCGGCUCACUGGUCCGGUACUGACGCUGAGGUGCGAAAGCGUGGGGAGCAAACAGGAUUAGAAACCCGUGUAGUCC
rnacentral:rRNA from 1 species